AGUUGCUAAUGGGAAGCAGCAAUAGCACAGCCAGGUCCCAGCUCAGGGGGCAGCCGGUGGGCCUGGGUGCUUUGGAGCAGUGCUAUUUAGGAAAGAGGAAAAGGAAAAAUCAAAUGCAUGGAGCAUCUUUAACCAGGACUCCUGAGUGGGGUUGGAUUUGGCUGUUCUUUGAAGCCAGGUUGGCGCAUUUGAGGAGCUGUCUGUCCUCUCCCAUGCCAAAGCAAGUGAUUUACAGUCAAGAAGAACCAAGAUCUUCAAGCAGACAUCCAUGGCCAAGGCUCCCGCUCGCCUCACAUCAAGCGCACCUGUUUGCCCUCACGGCCAGCUGUGACUCAUCUGCUCUGUCUCUCCUUCACCUCCACCGCCUACUCACUUCCACAUACCACACCCAAGUCCUCUAGGACAGCGGUCCCUGACCUUUUCGGCACCAGGGAUUGAUUUCUUAGAAGACAAUUUUUCCACAGACCGGGGGCGGGGGGAAUGGUUUGGGGAUGAUUCAAGCACAUUGCAUUUAUCAUGCACUUUAUUUCUAAUCUAAUGCCACUGCUGAUCUGACAGGAGCUACCAGUUCUCAGUGCAGAGGUUGGGGACCCCUGCUCUCAGACUCUCAGUUCUCAGUGGAAACUCUUGCACUCAGAAAGCC
ensembl:lncRNA